rnacentral:rRNA from 1 species
UGAGGAAUAUUGGGCAAUGCCCGCAAGGGUGACCCAGCAACGCCGCGUGGAGGAUGAAUGUCGUAAGAUUGUAAACUCCUGUUAGAGGGGAAGAAUAGUACCGGUUGGACCGGUAUAUGACUGUACCCUCAGAGAAAGCCCCGGCUAACUACGUGCCAGCAGCCGCGGUAAUACGUAGGGGGCAAGCGUUGUCCGGAUUUACUGGGUGUAAAGGGCGCGCAGGCGGGAUAAAAAGUCAGUGGUGAAAUCCUACAGCUUAACUGUAGAACUGCCUCUGAUACUUUUAUUCUUGAGUUCGGGAGAGAGAGACGGAAUUCCAGGUGUAGUGGUAAAAUACGUAGAUAUCUGGAAGAACACCAGUUGCGAAGGCGGUCUCUUGGUCCGACACUGACGCUGAGGCGCGAAAGCGUGGGGAGCAAACA